rnacentral:snoRNA from 1 species
CUGCCAAAUAAUUGUGUGGCCUAUUUCCCACACAGUUAUUGCUUCAUGUCCGGCAAAGAUCAAAGGACAAUAUCGUGAACUAAGCAAAUUCAAUUUAGAAAUGUUUGGUCUUUAUUAUUGUCUACA